GAUCUUCAACGGUCGAGAUUGGGGUAGUGCGCAAAAUGAGUGAUUCACACCUGUGGACACACUUUGCCAUGCAGGCCACUGGAUGCUGACUACUGAAGGUUAGGUUGUGUGUGAUGGUGCUCAGCACAGCUUCAUGUCUGGCCUUCCCACUCUGUUCAUAGCAUGUUACAUAUUCAAUCUUGAGUACCAGGAUGGGUCAGCGUGUAUCUUGGAGUCCACUGAAAGAUAUUAAUCCAGAGAGCGGAACAAGAAGAAGCGUCAUUUAAAAUGCCAGGAUACAGAAGAAACAGGUUGCAGUGAACCCACAUGUUGCCGCUCUUCUAAACACAAUGAUGAAUUUUCAGUGUAAUCGAUGAAAAUUCCAGCCACUUGUUGUGCUCUGAUGGAUCAAGAAUGUGGACCGUUUUACAGACUCACUUGGGCCUUGUUUUGCAAUGUUGUUUCAUGAUGGUAAUGUUGGUUAACGUGUUGUUAAACAUGAAUGUUUAAAGAGCCAUGUUGGAUACUAUGAAGUUGUAACUGAAUAAAAUUAUUUCAUGUACAACAACGUACACAAUUCGUCUGUAA